CUGGCACCCAGAGAGCACUCUUUUCAGCCAGAGCCCAGAACCAGCCGUUGUCCCCUGGCAAAAGAGGCCCAGUGCUGGGCCCUGGGCAAGUGUCUCCAGACAUCCCUACCUUUCUUUAUUAGUCUUCUUUCCCAACAGAAGCUAUUUCCUUUUGCCACUAAAACUACGUUGCAUCCAAAAGUUUCUCACAAGCUUAGAAAAGAAAAAUGAAAAACUGACACCAUUAUACAGAAGAAUUCACAAAAGCUGCAGAACACCAGGGCAGAGAAGCAGCAGCGUCAGACACAGGCAAAACCUCUGGAAUGUAUUCUUAGCAGACUGCUAACUUCUACCACCCAAGCUAGACUGUCAGUAGGCGGCACCUGAAACCUAUGGCGGUUUCCUCUGCUCUGUUGAAGCCAGUCCACCUGCUGUCUCCACCAAUAUAUUUGGCAAGGACAUUGAUUUAUGACUGUCAUUUGUGCUACAAUUCUGAAAGUUUGAUCUAACUAUUCCCAUGUUGGAAUAUAU
rnacentral:lncRNA from 1 species